UGGGGUGUAACUCAGUGGUAGAGCACUUGCCUAGCAUGCACAAGGCCCUGGGUUCAUCCCCAGCACCACAA
rnacentral:tRNA from 1 species